rnacentral:rRNA from 1 species
AGAGCGAACGCUGGCGGCAGGCCUAACACAUGCAAGUCGAGCGCCGUAGCAAUACGGAGCGGCAGACGGGAGAGUAACACGUGGGAACGUACCCUUUGGUUCGGAACAACCCAGGGAAACUUGGGCUAAUACCGAAUAAGCCCUUACGGGGAAAGAUUUAUCGCCGAAGGAUCGGCCCGCGUCUGAUUAGCUAGUUGGUGGGGUAACGGCCCACCAAGGCGACGAUCAGUAGCUGGUCUGAGAGGAUGAUCAGCCUCAUUGGGACUGAGACACGGCCCAAACUCCUACGGGAGGCAGCAGUGGGGAAUAUUGGACAAUGGCGCAAGCCUGAUCCAGCCAUGCCGCGUGGGUGAUGAAGGCCCUAGGGUUGUAAAGCCCUUUGGCGGGGAAGAUAAUGACGGUACCGCAGAAGAAGCCCGGCUAACUUCGCGCCAGCAGCCGC